CUCACUCUUAACUCAAGUUUACUCUUUAUAUUACUCCUUUUUUCCCGACCUAAAAAAGUUCUUAUUUUUUAUUUAGCGCUAUUUUAUUUGUUGUUGUUAUAUAGAAUUUUUUCAUUUAUAUUAUUUUGGAUAAAAAUAAUCUUAUUAAUCUUUAUUUUUAAUAUUUUAAUGAUGCUUAUAGUUUUCAUAUAUCUUUCACUUACUUUAUUUUGAUGUUUUUAUAUAUUUCUUAUUUUCUUCACUUGUUUUUUACCAACUUUAUAAAAUUAUUUUUUAUUAGUUGUGGUUAGGGGUGUUCAAAAUCAAAUACCGGGCCGACCCGGAUCCGAAAAUCCGAAAUCCAGUUUUUCGGAUACCUAAAAAUGCGAUUUGGUUCCGAUCCGAAUAAAUCGGAAAUCUAGAUACUCGGUUUAAUUUGGGUCGGAUCCAGAUACCCGGUUAUAUUAGAAAUUUUUUUUGUCUCUUUUUUUGUUCAACCUUACGUUUGUUUAUCUCUAUUUUUAUUUAGAAUAUUUUUUUAUAUAAAAUUCAAAUACUAGCUUUCUAAAAUAUUUAACUUAAUUAGUCAUAAAAGAUUAAUUAAGAAAAUUAACCAAUAAUAUUAUUGUUCAUUAGUUUAAGUAAGACCAAUAAUAAAAUUCAACUACUAACUUUCUAAAAAUACUUAACCUAAGGUUAGCUAAAGAGAUAUCAUCAUCAUUUUAUUUACAAAAAAAAUAAUUAAAAAAUCGGAUAUCAGAUAUCCAGUUUCCAAAAUUAUGUGACCUGGAUCCGGUAUUCGGUUUUAAAAUCGGGUACCCGAUCUGGAUUAUUUGGUUUGCGAAAAUCGGGCAAAUUAUAUGGUUUUGGAAACCGAAUACCAGAUAUUCGGAUCGAGUUUUUAUGAACACUCGUAGUUGUGGUUAGAGGUGUCCAUUCGUAUGAUCGGGUCGGUUUCGGAUAGGUGUCAUUCAAUUCGGUUAUAUUUCGGAUGCGUGUUGCAACAGGUCAUACUCAGGUCGGGUUGGUUAGUCACGGUUUGGUUGAAGAUCGGUUAUUCGAACUAUCGGGUUUAGCAUCAGGUUAAUUUAUCUCUAGAAUAACAAUGUUUUCGUGGAAGAGUUUUCAGAAGCAUCAUGAUGAUAAUGAUCCAUUACUGCGACAAUCCAAGCCGUUCAUGUGUGGAGGCGGUUAAAUCAUGGAUAGGCAUCACUCUUAAGCCAAUCGCUAAUAUGGAUUUUCGGAAGCGGCAGUUUUCCAAAACCAAGCAGCAUGUGUUAACAGCCAUUUUUGUUUGCACACUUUACUAUAUUUGGAAGUGCAGGAACGAAGCGGUCUGGUAUGCUUUUGUACGGUCUCCUGGGCAUGUUCUUACCAUGAUCAAGCAUGACAUUAGACAGAGAUGCCACGUUUUGAACCUCAUAGAUGCAGUGACCUUUUAGAGCUGCUGUGUUUUCUUUUUAGUGGUUUUGGUUGUAUAUAAUUUUGAUUUGGCUUGGUUUUGAACAUUGUUGCUAUAGGCCCCCUUGCUAUGCACAUGAAGAGUGGGCUAUUAACUCCCUUCAUAGAAGGUAAACUUUGAUUUCAUACAGAUGCAUUUUCAGUCUGGGUGCGUCCUCGGCCAGAUUUUGAAUUUGUUUGGUAUUUUCUGGUGAAUAAUAAAAAUUUAUAUUUGUCAAAAAAUAAUGUAGGAUUAUUGUA